UGACUCUCUUUAUUGGAAUCAAACGGAGCAUUUCAGUAUGCCUCGACAGACUAUAAUGGGGUGACUGACCCUGGCCUCUCAGUAUUUGCACUGGAAUUGGUCGUUGCUCCCAAUAUUCGAGGUAACUAAAUAUUAAUAAAAGUCCCCUUUCUUUAUAUUUUCAGGGUAUACUCGUGUUACAACACGACACCGUUGGCUUCAAGGGC
rnacentral:lncRNA from 1 species